UACGAAGGGGGCUAGCGUUGCUCGGAAUCACUGGGCGUAAAGGGUGCGUAGGCGGGUCUUUAAGUCAGGGGUGAAAUCCUGGAGCUCAACUCCAGAACUGCCUUUGAUACUGAAGAUCUCGAGUCCGGGAGAGGUGAGUGGAACUGCGAGUGUAGAGGUGAAAUUCGUAGAUAUUCGCAAGAACACCAGUGGCGAAGGCGGCUCACUGGCCCGGUACUGACGCUGAGGCACGAAAGCGUGGGGAGCAACAGG
rnacentral:rRNA from 1 species